AAGAAAGUGAUAGAUUGGUUAUAUAGUUGAUUUGAAAUCGACUUAGGGGGGUUCGAUUCCUUCUUUUCUUG
rnacentral:tRNA from 1 species